rnacentral:tRNA from 1 species
GGAAUAGUUUACAUUGGAAAGUUAAAAUGAUUGCUAAUUAUUCGGGUAUUCCCUUAGGUGUUCGAAUCACCUCUAUUCCG